rnacentral:rRNA from 1 species
UCCGUAGGUGAACCUGCGGAAGGAUCAUUAGUGAAUUUUAGGGCGUCUCACUACGAAAGUAGCUUGAGGGCCUGACCUCCACUCUCUAACACUUGUGCACUCAAAAAAUUAGUGUAUUGAAAGGGUUUCCCUUACGGGAAGCUUGAUUAUUUCACUUUUUUCAUUAUUACAAUACUCCAACAGUUAAAGAAUGAAACCAAAACCAUAACAAAAUAAAACUUUCAACAACGGAUCUCUUGGCUCUCGCAUCGAUGAAGAACGCAGCGAAAUGUGAUAAGUAAUGUGAAUUGCAGAAUUCAGUGAAUCAUCGAAUCUUUGAACGCACCUUGCGCUCUCUGGUAUUCCGGAGAGCAUGCCUGUUUGAGUGUCAUGAACUCUUCAACCCACCGGUUCCUUGUUGGAUCGAGUUGGUGUUUGGAUCUUGAGCGUUGCUGGCUUUACUAGUGUUCUUCGAAUACUGAAUAAGCGUAGCUCGUUCGUAAUACAUUAGCAUCUCAAUUACGAAACUCGGAUUGACUCAGCGUUAUAGACUAUUCGCUGAGGACAUGAGCAAUCAUGGCCGAAUUAAGUUAACUAGAAGCUUCUAAUCCCCCACUAGUCAAACUAUAAGAUUAGACCUCAGAUCAGGCAGGAUUACCCGCUGAACUUAAGCAUAUCAAUAAGCGGAGGA